rnacentral:rRNA from 1 species
GACGAACGCUGGCGGCGUGCUUAACACAUGCAAGUCGAGCGGUAAGGCCCUUUCGGGGUACGACGAGCGGCGAACGGGUAGGAGUAACAACGUGGGUGGACCUCGCCCUCCAGCUCUGGGAGUAAGACCUCGGGAAACGUAGGGUCGUAAUAACUGGAGUAUGACUCCACCGGUGGCAUGUCGGUGGGGUGGGAAAGACUUUUGUCGGC